CACUGCUAUCAGAAUACGCCUAAGCCAUGCAAAUCUGCCCGUCGGCUUCGACGGACGGUGUACGGCUCAGUAACAAGUAGUCAAUCUGCCCUAAGGACGGGAGCAACCUCGGGAAACUGAGGUCAAUUCCCGAUGCUUCAUCUAUGCUGGAAUGCUUGAUGAGGAAAAUGCGCGGUAAAUUGUAGCCGUUGCGCCUUAGGAUGAGACUGCUCCUGAUUAGGUAGUUGGUGAGGUAACGGCUCACCAAGCCGAUAAUCAGUAGGGGCAAUGGGAGUUGGCGCCCCGAGAAGGGCACUGAGACAAGGGCCCUAGUCCUACGGGAUGCAGCAGGCGCGAAACCUUUGCAAUGCGCGAAAGCGUGAUAAGGGAAUUCUGAGUGGCAGCCGGCUUUUAGCCGACUGUCUUUUGGCGAACCCAAACCGUUCGCAGAAUAAGUUCUGGGUAAGACCAGUGCCAGCCGCCAUGUGCAUUUGCAUAAUGCGCACGGUACGCGGUAAUACUGGCAGAACGAGUGGUGCCCACGAAUAUUGGGUCUAAAGAGACCGUAGCUGGUCUGUUAAGUCCACUGUGAAAUCUUGGGGCUCAACCUCAAGGCGUGCAGUGGAUACUGGCAGACUUGAGAGCGGGGGAGGUCAGGGGUACUUACGGGGUAUGAGUAAAAUCAGUUGAUCCUGUAAAGGACCACCAGUGGCGAAGCGCCUGACCAAAACGCGUCUGACAGUGAGGGUCGAAGGCUAGGAGAACGAAUCGGAUUAGAUACCCGAGUAGCCCUAGCAGUAAAUUAUGCAGACUGUGUGUUGCGGUGGCUUCGGGCCGCCGCAGUGCUGUAGCGUAGUGUUAAGUCUGCCACCUGGGGAGUACGGCCGCAA
rnacentral:rRNA from 1 species